AUCUAAUAAAUUUGUUUUUUGAUUUAACAUCAUUCGCAUCUGACACCAGACUGGUGAAUUUGAUUUUAUCAAUUUUCUAUAGCGCUACCUGAUUAUCUCUCAGAAGUAUAUAAUGUUAAGAAAUUUCGGACAGCGCAUAUUUCGGAUAAACUAUUCAAUAUGAUUAUCAGUGAGUUUGAGUUGAAUAUAUUUUCUUCCAACUGAAAAUAUUAUUUAUUUAUAAUUAUUAUCUUUAUAAAGCACAAACAGUCAAGCUGUAUAUAACCAAUUUGAAUUGUCAUAAAAUUCAAUGAAAUAUUUUGCUCCUGUAGAUAUUUUGACUGAGGACAGUGGUGAGAUGAAAGACGUCAGUAUCCGAUGUAAAUACACAUGCAUGCUCUGCUGUAAAAUCGUUUUGGUAUGUGAUUUCAUGGUUGGAUCUUGAGUACUUGUCAUGGCUCUUGAUUUAUUUUUGAGUGUUCACCAUCAGAUUAGAAAUCAAAUAGUGAUACCACCAGGCAUACAUGUAGUUGAAAGGAAAUGUCCAUACACAGUCUUGGAGUACAUAGUGGUAGAGACAUGGCAGUCCAUUACAGAUUUUGACUGAAUUAAAGCUUCUUAAAGCUCCAUGUCUUGUGUAAACUGUUUGACUGAAUGUUUGUAUUCUAAUAAAAACUAAGGUUGAAGACACUUCAAAGAUAUAUGUCAGUGUAAAAAUGUUAAACAAAAUAUCUGUCUUUGUUAGAAAUAAAUAACCUGUCUUUAUUAGAAAUAAAUAACCUGUCAUUUGUAA